AUUGCCAAUGCAACAUCAGGAGGCCCAGGCAGGCUUUCUCAUCUGCCCCUAUUGGAGGCAAGAGCGAACACUGGCUGUUAUUUAGCCUUUUCUCCAGGGGAGUCCUGGACAGAGCUCUGAGAGGCAGGAGCAGCCACGGGUGGGACACUGACUGUUGCACUGAUGCUCAUUGGAAAGAAGGCAGGUAACAGACUUCAGACAUAUAAAAGGCUGCUCUAAAGACGAUGCUGAUUGAUUGUUCUCCAGGGCCACUGAAGGCAGGACAAGACGUAACGAGCUUAAUCUGCAGCAAGGGAGAUUCAGUUACGAAGGAUGGUGAUGGGAAGGGAUUAGUCCGAUCUCUGAAUUUCCUGCCUUUGAUGGCUCUGUAGCAUCCAGGAUCACCUCCCUCAUGGGUUAAUUUCCCAAUGCAACACAAAGAGCUUAUGAAUAAACCACCAGAGUUGCUGAUGGCAAAACCUCACACCUGCACAUUCUAAUUGGUCGAGAAGGAGAGAAGAUGGGUCAGCAUAAUUGGUGCCCUCCAGACACUGCAAGCCGGGAAUUAAGGACUUGGCUGGCAGGAGGUUCCGCAGUGAGCCAGAACUGGGCCGUACAGACUUGACAGCAGAAAAAGAGGCUGAAUCAGUCACUCUACUCUGGCCCAGCCAUCGGCACGCCAGGUGGGAAGAAAUCUGAAAGGAGAAGGAACAUAUCCCUUACUCUUUCCCCUUCUACAGAGAACAUCGGGGGCAAGAUUCUGGUGCAAUUCUGGAGUCGCUCCACUGAGUUCAUGGAAAUUACUCAGGGGUUCUCUGGGUCACGGAGAUCAGCCCUUGAUCCAGAGCUAGGGAACCUCAGCAUUACAGAGAUAACAUUGUCCCAGUGAAGAGCUCUAAUAAGGAGUAAAAUUCCCACCCAUC